rnacentral:tRNA from 1 species
GCAUUGGUGGUUCAGUGGUAGAAUACUUGUCUUCCAUGCUGGAGACCCGUGCUCAAUUCCUGCCAAUGCU